UACGGAGGGUGCAAGCGUUAUCCGGAUUUAGUGGGUUUAAAGGGUGCGUAGGUGGACAGGAAAGUCAGUGGUGAAAUCUUCGAGCUUAACUCGGAAACUGCCAUUGAUACUAUUUGUCUUGAAUACUUUGGAGGUAAGCGGAAUAUGUCAUGUAGCGGUGAAAUGCUUAGAUAUGACAUAGAACACCAAUUGCGAAGACAGCUUACUACACAGUUAUUGACACUGAGGCACGAAAGCGUGGGGAUCACACACG
rnacentral:rRNA from 1 species